GAUGAACGCUGGCGGCGUGCCUAAUACAUGCAAGUCGAGCGAACAGAUGAGGAGCUUGCUCCUCUGACGUUAUCGGCGGACGGGUGAGUAACACGUGGAUAACCUACCUAUAAGACUGGGAUAACUUCGGGAAACCGGAGCUAAUACCGGAUAAUAUAUUGAACCGCAUGGUUCAAUAGUUAAAGACGGUUUUGCUGUCACUUAUAGAUUGAUCCGCGCCGCAUUAGCUAGUUGGUAAGGUAACGGCUUACCAAGGCAACGAUGCGUAGCCGACCCGAGAGGGUCAUCGGCCACCCUGGCACUGAGACACGGUCCAGACUCCUACGGGAGGCAGCAGCAGGGAAUCUUCCGCAAUGGGCGAAAGCCUGACGGAGCAACGCCGCGUGAGUGAUGAAGGUCUUCGGCUCGUAAAACUCUGUUAUUAGGGAAGAACAAAUGUGUAAGUAACUAUGCACGUCUUGACGGUACCUAAUCAGAAAGCCACGGCUAACUACGUG
rnacentral:rRNA from 1 species